GUCCAGUGCUACAGCACACACUUGUAAUUCUAGCUACUUGGGAGGCUGAGGCAGGAGGAUCUCUUGGGCCCAGGAGCUCUAGGCCACUCUGGGCAACACAGUGAGACCCUGUCUCAA
rnacentral:sRNA from 1 species